UUAACUGAAACCAAAGAAAGAGGUAUAUUAUUGUUAAUAAUAAAAUUGAAUCAAAUAGAAUUCCAGUUAAG
rnacentral:tRNA from 1 species